rnacentral:rRNA from 1 species
UACAGAGGUCUCAAGCGUUGUUCGGAUUCAUUGGGCGUAAAGGGUGCGUAGGUGGCGGGGUAAGUCAGGUGUGAAAUCUCGGGGCUCAACCCCGAAACUGCAUUUGAUACUGCCUUGCUCGAGUACUGGAGAGGAGAUUGGAAUUUACGGUGUAGCAGUGAAAUGCGUAGAUAUCGUAAGGAAGACCAGUGGCGAAGGCGAAUCUCUGGACAGUUACUGACACUGAGGCACGAAAGCCAGGGGAGCAAACGGG